CAGCACUUGUCUGAGAGCUGUCCGGCGAAGAAGGAUCCGAUCAGGACUCCCACAAAAAAGAUGGUGGUGGUGAACGGCUUCUUCCACUUUUGGUCGCACACCAGGUCGAACUGAAAGAUGGACAUAAUCCAAGGAAAACACGUGAGGGCGACGUACCGUUCCCUCUUGCGUAUGUCCUGCAUGCUGUCAGGAAGAGGUCGCCCAAAACUCUCAGGAAGGAGAAUGGUGGCGAGGGCGGCCAAAACCGCCAAACUUCCCAAGACGAUGUACGGAAGAAACUUGGCGUAGGACCCUGUGUUGACGAGAGGCACCAGCUGCAUGACGUAC